rnacentral:lncRNA from 1 species
UCCCUUAUUUGAAAAUACCUCCUGGGCUGUUUGGGAGCAUUCUGGAUUUUCAGGAAGGCUGCAGUGAUUUAGGGAAGCUCAGGGGGGGAUGAAGAUUUCUCUGAGUUCAGAUAACAGAUGCCAUUUGUUUGUGACACCUCUCAAGAGCUGGGAGCUCAGACGGGGCUGAGAUGGAAAUGCCUGGAUCCUCUUUUGUCCCCUGGCCAGCUCCUUGCAGGUUUUUCUCUGUGCACUCCUGAAGCAAUUGCAGCUCUUUGGAAUUCUCCUCUUUGAGUGUUUCUGUCGCUGCCAAUGGCUGGAGCUGCUCAAGGAAUGUUCUGGAUUUCUGGGGAUGGGCCCAGAAGUGGCUGCUCCAGCUUCCAAGGGAGAGGCUUUUACCACCCAGAUGGAGCCAGAUUUGGGAUCAAAAAAUCACUGCAGGAUCAAACAGAUUGGGCAUUUCUUGGGAAAUUGCUGGAAAACUUUCAUGGAAUCACGGAAAACCUGAGCUGGAAUAAACCCCCAGGGAUCAUCCAGUCCCAGCCCCCCAAAAUCCCAGCCUGGGCAUCCCUGGAGCUCCUGGAGCUGUGGGGAGCCUGGGCAGUGCCCAGCACCCUCUGGGAGAAGAACCUUGCCCUAAAAUCCAUCCCAAAUCCCUCCUGGCCCAGCUCCAGCUGCUCGCUCUGCUUUAAUACUUGGAUUGGUCCCAAAAUUAAAAGCAUCACAAGUCUGGUGAGAAAACAAAUUGGGGGUUUUGGUCAACUCUGAAAUGAAGGUUUGUGGUUGGAACUUCAGGCAAAAGAUGAUCGCAGGUAAUUUUGUAUUUCUUGUCCAUAUUUUAUAUAUUUUAUGAUUUCAUAAUGCCCCUGGAUCCCUGGCAGUGCCCAAGGCCAGGUUGGACACUGGGGCUGGAGCAGCCUGGGACAGUGGGAGGUGUCCCCAUGGCAGGGGUGGCUCUGGAUGGGAUUUAAAGUCCUUCCCAACCCAAACCAUUCUGGGAUUCUGGGAUUCUGGGAUUCUCUGAAGCUGGACUCUGCAGGUGAGCAGAGGGUGAUGCUGGAGGGUCACCCCUUCCCCUGAGCUCUCCUUUCCCCUGGAAUGCUCCUGGAAUCGAUGGCACUGCAGCUGCAGCUGUGCCUGAUGGAUCCUCUGAGAACCAACCAAACUGGGGAAAAAAAUCUGUGUGCAGCUGAAUUGGAGAAAUACGGGAUUAUGGAG